rnacentral:rRNA from 1 species
GACAGAGGUGCCGAGCGUUAGGCGGAAUCACUGGGCUUAAAGCGUGUGUAGGCGGAUUUUUAAGUACUUUGUGAAAUCCCACGGCUUAACCGUGGAACUGCUUGGUAUACUGGAAAUCUUGAGCCACUUAGGGGCGAGCGGAACAAAUGGUGGAGCGGUGAAAUGCGUAGAUAUCAUUUGGAACGCCAAAGGUGAAAACAGCUCGCUGGGAGUGCUCUGACGCUGAGACACGAAAGCGAGGGUAGCGAACGGG